ACCCUAGGAGCUGCCCGGCGCGCGCCCUGUGUGCACAGCCCGCGCGCGCGCGCGCGCCCGUCCCACCCAACACUCUGCGCUCGGAGAAGCAGCGGGAGCCCCCGGAACGCGCCUGCGCCAUCGGCGGCGCAAGGGGCUGGCGCCUUUAAGGAGCCGCGGCGUUGCGUCAUUUCUCUGCGACGCCCCCGGGCCCUCGGUCCCGCCCUCUCUCCAACGGUUGCCGGAGGCGGCCAAUCAGAAGUCUAGUUCCUCUGCGGGAUCAGCUGGUCGCCGUUCCCGCGCGGCCAGGGGCUGUCCGCCGCCGAGAGCCGUCGCUGCCGCGGUGGAAGGUGCGCAGGCCCCCGGGACUCUUCUGGCUCAGGCCGGGGCCUCUGGCGCCGCGAGUCUGAAUCCGAGCCUUGCCUCCUCCACUGAGCAGCUGUGUGGCCAUGGGAUUCUGUCAGUACACCGCUGGGUGGACAAUGAGCUGGUCAUUCCUGCAGAAUUUGUAUCACCAACCACAGAAAGAAGAAGUGCAAACGAAAUGAAGGACCUCCCUUCCCCCGGAGAGGAAGCCA